rnacentral:rRNA from 1 species
UAACGAAUAUUCCGCAAUGCGCGAAAGCGUGACGGAGCAAUGCCGCGUGCAGGAUGAAGCCCCUCGGGGUGUAAACUGCUGUCAGGGAUUAGGAACUCAAUGACCAGCCCCAAAGGAAGGACCGGCUAACUCUGUGCCAGCAGCCGGGGUAAAACAGAGGGUCCAACCGUUGAUCGGAAUCACUGGGCUUAAAGGGUUCGCAGGCGGCUCGGUAAGUAUGUUGUGAAAUCCCACGGCUCAACCGUGGAAUUGCUUCGUAGACUGCCGAGCUUGAGCACGACAGGGGCCAUCAGAACGAUAGGUGGAGCGGUGAAGUGCGUAGAUAUCUAUCGGAAUGCCAAAGGUGAAGACAGAUGGCUGGGUCGUCGCUGACGCUCAGGAACGAAAGCAUGGGUAGCGAACGGGAUUAGAUACCCGUGUAGUCC